rnacentral:rRNA from 2 species
GCAGUCGAACGAACUCUGGUAUUGAUUGGUGCUUGCAUCAUGAUUUACAUUUGAGUGAGUGGCGAACUGGUGAGUAACACGUGGGAAACCUGCCCAGAAGCGGGGGAUAACACCUGGAAACAGAUGCUAAUACCGCAUAACAACUUGGACCGCAUGGUCCGAGCUUGAAAGAUGGCUUCGGCUAUCACUUUUGGAUGGUCCCGCGGCGUAUUAGCUAGAUGGUGGGGUAACGGCUCACCAUGGCAAUGAUACGUAGCCGACCUGAGAGGGUAAUCGGCCACAUUGGGACUGAGACACGGCCCAAACUCCUACGGGAGGCAGCAGUAGGGAAUCUUCCACAAUGGACGAAAGUCUGAUGGAGCAACGCCGCGUGAGUGAAGAAGGGUUUCGGCUCGUAAAACUCUGUUGUUAAAGAAGAACAUAUCUGAGAGUAACUGUUCAGGUAUUGACGGUAUUUAACCAGAAAGCCACGGCUAACUACGUGCCAGCAGCCGCGGUAAUACGUAGGUGGCAAGCGUUGUCCGGAUUUAUUGGGCGUAAAGCGAGCGCAGGCGGUUUUUUAAGUCUGAUGUGAAAGCCUUCGGCUCAACCGAAGAAGUGCAUCGGAAACUGGGAAACUUGAGUGCAGAAGAGGACAGUGGAACUCCAUGUGUAGCGGUGAAAUGCGUAGAUAUAUGGAAGAACACCAGUGGCGAAGGCGGCUGUCUGGUCUGUAACUGACGCUGAGGCUCGAAAGUAUGGGUAGCAAACAGGAUUAGAUACCCUGGUAGUCCAUACCGUAAACGAUGAAUGCUAAGUGUUGGAGGGUUUCCGCCCUUCAGUGCUGCAGCUAACGCAUUAAGCAUUCCGCCUGGGGAGUACGGCCGCAAGGCUGAAACUCAAAGGAAUUGACGGGGGCCCGCACAAGCGGUGGAGCAUGUGGUUUAAUUCGAAGCUACGCGAAGAACCUUACCAGGUCUUGACAUACUAUGCAAAUCUAAGA